AUUGAACGCUGGCGGCAGGCCUAACACAUGCAAGUCGAACGGUAACAGGAAGCAGCUUGCCGCUUUGCUGACGAGUGGCGGACGGGUGAGUAAUGUCUGGGAAACUGCCCGAUGGAGGGGGAUAACUACUGGAAACGGUAGCUAAUACCGCAUAACGUCGCAAGACCAAAGAGGGGGACCUUAGGGCCUCUUGCCAUCGGAUGUGCCCAGAUGGGAUUAGCUAGUAGGUGGGGUAACGGCUCACCUAGGCGACGAUCCCUAGCUGGUCUGAGAGGAUGACCAGCCACACUGGAACUGAGACACGGUCCAGACUCCUACGGGAGGCAGCAGUGGGGAAUAUUGCACAAUGGGCGCAAGCCUGAUGCAGCCAUGCCGCGUGUAUGAAGAAGGCCUUCGGGUUGUAAAGUACUUUCAGCGGGGAGGAAGGGAGUAAAGUUAAUACCUUGGCUCAUUGACGUUACCCGCAGAAGAAGCACCGGCUAACUCCG
rnacentral:rRNA from 1 species